rnacentral:rRNA from 1 species
CCUGGUAGCGGGGGAGUAACUAUUGGAAACGAAUAGCUAAUACCGCAUAAUAUUUGAUUAUUUGCAUGAUAAUUGAUUGAAAGAAUGCUAUUGCAUCACUACCAGAUGGACCUGCGUUGUAUUAGCUAGUAGGUGAGGUAACGGCUCACCUAGGCGACGAUACAUAGCCGACCUGAGAGGGUGAUCGGCCACACUGGGACUGAGACACGGCCCAG